GAUGAACGCUGGCGGCGUGCCUAAUACAUGCAAGUCGAGCGAAUGGAUUGAGGGCUUACUCUUAUGAAGUUAGCGGCGGACGGGUGAGUAACACGUGGGUAACCUGCCCAUAAGACUGGGAUAACUCCGGGAAACCGGGGCUAAUACCGGAUAACAUUUUGAACCGCAUGGUUCGAAAUUGAAAGGCGGCUUCGGCUGUCACUUAUGGAUGGACCCGCGUCGCAUUAGCUAGUUGGUGAGGUAACGGCUCACCAAGGCAACGAUGCGUAGCCGACCUGAGAGGUUGAUCGGCCACACUGGGACUGAGACACGGCCCAGACUCCUACGGGAGGCAGCAGUAGGGAAUCUUCCGCAAUGGACGAAAGUCUGACGGAGCAACGCCGCGUGAGUGAUGAAGGCUUUCGGGUCGUAAAACUCUGUUGUUAGGGAAGAACAAGUGCUAGUUGAAUAAGCUGGCACCUUGACGGUACCUAACCAGAAAGCCACGGCUAACUACGUGCCAGCCGCCGCUGUAA
rnacentral:rRNA from 1 species